AAUUAAAGAAAUAUAAUAAACAAACAAGGAAAGGAAGAAAAAGAAAAAGGGAAAAAAAAAAAAAAAAAAAACAGAAAAAUGGAUGUAGUGACCUUCGGCAUCAUAGUCGGGAUAAUCCUUCUGUUCUUAGUGGCCGUUUGCUACAUCACCAUUCAAGGCACCUGCAAAUCCUCAUAAUUCUUCUUCGUCUCUCUCAUUUUCAAUCUUAACCUUCACCUAAUCCUCCGCCAUACCCGGAUUCUUCUUUAUUCCCUCCACAAAAUGCCCAACUCCUGCUUUUUCCCCUUCAUUUUUGCUUCUGCACUUGUCUUCUCCCUGUUUUUGGAUCUCAGCUUUGCUCACGGUUCCCUUGGGCAUCAUCAGUGUUCUCAUUCCCAUGGGCACCACCAGCACGCCCAUCAUCAUCGCCAUGACGACGAUUUGUCUGUUACAUCCAAGCUGCUACCGGAGGAGCUCGCGGAGGAGGAGGAUAUGAGGCUUUAUGGAUUUGGACGGCCCUAUGUCGAGCAUGAUCAUGAGAGUGUUGGAUCUUCCGACUUGUCUGGUUUGGGUCUUUGGAUUCGUGCAUUGGGCUGCUCAUUGUUGAUUAGCAUGGCAUCUCUUAUUUGCUUAAUACUCUUGCCAGUAAUUUUUGUUCGAGGAAAACCAUCAAAAGCUGUUGUUGAUUCCUUGGCCUUAUUUGGGGCAGGAGCUAUGCUAGGGGAUGCUUUUCUUCACCAGUUGCCUCAUGCAUUUGGUGGUGGCAAGCACUCUCAUUCACACGCUGAUCAUCAUGGUCAUUCUCAUUCAGAAGACGAGCAUUCACAUUCACAUGCACAUACUUUGGAAGAUCUUUCUGUAGGAAUGUCUGUCCUUGCUGGAAUCGUGCUUUUUCUUCUGGUAGAGAAGAUAGUGAGGUAUGUAGAAGAUAAUUCUGAGGGAGGAAAUGAUUGGAGUCAUGGUCACCACCACCACCAUAAGAAUAAAAAAUUGAAGGAUGAUAGUGAUUCUCCUGACACCACUGAUAAAAAGGGCAGAGCUAAGUUGUUGGAUGGAGUGCCAAAUGACUCAAAAGAAGAUCAGGGUACUCCACAGAAAUCCGUUCCCCGGAAGAGAAAUGGGAAAUCUGCCUCCAGAGAUGAUAAGGAAGAUCUAGUUGCUACUAAUGGCCUCACUGCUGAUGUCAAUUCCUCACAAGAAUUUCCAGCUAAGACACCGUCAAACUUAGUGUUUGGUUAUCUCAAUCUAUUCUCUGAUGGCGUUCACAAUUUCACCGAUGGGAUGGCCUUAGGAAGUGCUUUCUUACUAUAUGGAUCUGUUGGUGGAUGGUCUAGAACUGUGUUUUUGCUUGCGCAUGAACUCCCGCAAGAGAUUGGGGAUUUUGGUAUUUUGGUAAGAUCCGGUUUCAGUGUUGCCAAAGCUCUUUUCUUCAACUUCCUCUCUGCACUCGUGGCUCUUGCCGGAACUGCAAUUGCAUUGCUAAUGGGGACAGAUCCGGGACACUCAUCGUUGAUUGAGGGGUUUACCGCGGGUGGUUUCAUAUACAUCGCGGUUGCUGGAGUACUAGCUGAAAUGAACAGUAGCAGCAAAUCAACUAUAAGAACAACUGUAUUUCAAUUAACUUCACUUGUACUCGGAAUGGCUGUCGCGCUUGGGAUUUCCCUCAUUGAAUGAAUCAGAGUGCAUUUAAUUGAUCAACUAGUGUAAGAUUAGCAGAGAUGUUAACUAAAGGAUGCACGGAUUGAUCUUUUAGCUGGAGACUUGCGGAUUCUGUGUUCCUCGGUAAUCUUUUUGAAUGAAUGUUGACAAGCUAUUGGUAUACUAAUGUGACAUUUGAAAUUCAGUUUUAAAUGGUUGUUGCUGUCUUGCUGAUAUAUACUUGAACAAAUGUGUUCUUAAAAAGUGUUGGUGUUCUACACCAAUGUUUUAUGUGAAAUAUUGAAUCAAUGUUGCUAUACUA